rnacentral:rRNA from 1 species
AUACGGAGGGUGCAAGCGUUAAUCGGAAUUACUGGGCGUAAAGCGCGCGUAGGCGGAAGCCUAAGUCAGGAGUGAAAUCCCCCCGGCUUAACCGGGGAAUAGCUUUUGAUACUGGGUUUCUUGAGUUCAGGAGAGGGUGGCGGAAUUCCAGGUGUAGGAGUGAAAUCCGUAGAGAUCUGGAGGAACAUCAGUGGCGAAGGCGGCCACCUGGACUGAUACUGACGCUGAGGUGCGAAAGCGUGGGGAGC